ensembl:lncRNA
AUUGCCUGACUUACUCAUUUUAAAUCAAUCAAUCAGUCAAUCAAAGAACAAGCAUUUUAAGCUUGCGGCACACCUACGUGUGCCAAUGCACUGUUUAAAAGAUAAGCAUGGCAGAUACUAUGAAAGACACUUGUUUACUCAGAACUAAACAUAGCCCGAAAUUUUAUUUCUUUUAAAAUUGUGAAAUUAGUGCAAAGGUGAGACUUUUGCAGAAGGUAUUAAUUUAACUCCUCCAAUAUUUUUAGUACUCUGCUGUGAUUCUCUCCUCCGCUCCCCAAACUGACAAGUCAGCUUUUGUGAUGCCAAAGACAUGGUACUCAAGGAUGGAAAAUAACCGACCCUCUUGUCUAUGGCUACGACAGGGUUUGUAACAUUUUAAUAUGACAGGAAUGAAAGGGAAUGAGAACUCUUUAUUCCAGUAUACUGGACAAACUUUUCCCUGCCCUUUCAAGCUCAGAAUCUCAAAUCUGAUGCUUUUCUGUCCAGAACUAUUGUCGUGAGCUGCCUCCUUUUAUUUCCAAUGUCGUUAAUUUUCCGGCCAUUUCUCAGGGUUACAGUCUUAAACUAGGACUCUCCCCUCCCCACGUCUGGCUUGCUUGUUUAUCAGAGCCCCAAGCCUAGAAGGCUCCUCCCGCCCCGGCUUUCUGUACUCUUUCCCCUUCCAGCCUUGGGUGGAAAGUCUCCAACCAGGAAAAGUACCCUGCUGGCCUUUCCUUCAGAUCCACACCUGCCGCAAGGAAUUUUCCAUCCAUUUAUGACAGGUUUUCAAGCCUCGCCUCUCUAAAUCUCUCACUCGCGAUUUUAAGUAAGUUAUAAGGUAUAUGUGAGGAUGUGAGGAUGCAGCAGUACACAAGGAGGGAAGGGGGGACGUCCAGGGACCAGCUCUGUUUGUGGCCUUCGCCUCCUCCCCCACCCACAACUUCGCCAGCCCAGGAGCUUGUUCGGGCAAGUCUGGCCGCAGACCACUCGUGCAGCCGGGGCUGCUUCCUACUUCUCCUUUCUUCGCGCAGUCAGGAGGAGAGCGGAGCUCUGACUCUCCAGGUAACUCCUGCGCCUCGCUCACGCUCACGCUCACGCUCACGCCUUCGCCGAAUGCUCCUUCGCCGCAGCCCCAGCGCGGCUCGUCGCUUACCGGCCACCCUCCAGAGCAAGAGUCUGGAGCAAGGAUUGUCAGCGGUCUGCUCCGUCUCUGUCUUACGGCCAGAACCUCUCUUCCCCAGUCUGACCAAGAUGUCUAGGCAGAACGCACCUGAACCUCUCCCGCCGAGUGAGCCCAAUCCUUCGCCUCCGCAACCUGCAGAUCCAGAAUUUAAUCAAGGUACAAUUGAAUUGGCCAAACGAAUUGUAGAAAUUGGAGACAAGCUGUAUUUUGAAUACCUUGUUCGAAACUUGUUGUCCACGAUUUCCGACACAACCUGAAGUUAACUGACAGAUAUGACUUUAACAAUGAAGAUCCCCAGUAUGUUGGAUGUUGUAAAAGAUUUUGAGGGCAAAAUGUGGAAGAAACUAGCUUUUCAGUGAAUGCUGUUAAGGUUUGUUAUAAGCCAUUCUUUUCAACCAUGGAAAGUCAAGAGGAUACUUGGGAACCUGGAGUGUUGCAUUUCAGCAUUUUCAACACUGUUCGGUGGAAAACUAAUGCCCGUAUGAAAUGUUACAUGUCACUUAACAGAUGCAUAUAAAAUGUUUACCUUGAACAAUGUCAAGAUUUAAAACAGGAUUUCUAGUUACAUCUGCAUUAUGUGCAUUAUGACAGAUGAAUGUUUCGAUCUGCAUGCACUACUAUGUAAUUUCCAAUUACAUGUGUAUGGGAAGAACUUGAUUCUUACCAACAAGAAACAUUUCAAGCCUUAUCUGGUUUAUUUGGUUUACAUAGUGAAUUUUACAGGUUUGGUUUCUUUUAGAUGUAAUUAGUACAUGGAUUUGAAAAAUGGUGGGAUCUUUUUGUUUAAACUAUGAUUUGUAAUGUGCCUUCCACUUAUUUAUUUAAUUUAUGGUUAGAAAUUCUUGAUAGCUCAUUUUUGUAUUGAAGGUUAUGCUAUGUGAAGACAUGUAUGACAGUGUUUGGCAUGUUAUUGCAAUAAAGUUAAAUUAAAACCUGGAUUAAUAUAACCA